ACAAAAGGUAUUUGGAGGAGGACAGCGAGGAGGAGGCAGGACCAAGCCGUAGGGGGAGGAGGCCACCAUCUAUUGACGCCACUCAGCUGGACAGCGAGUGGCAAUUCCCCUCCCUUAAUGAAGACACCCAGCCAGGCCUGUUUCUUCACAGCCAGCCAUUAACUCAUGAUUCACCGUCGUCAGAAACCCCGCCAGGCCCUUUCCUUCACAGCCAACCACUAACCCAUG